GGGAAUGCAGCUCUAAAUGGGAGGUAAAUUUCUUCUAAAGCUAAAUAUUGGCCAGAGACCGAUAGCGCACAAGUAGAGUGAUCGAAAGAUGAAAAGCACUUUGGAAAGAGAGUCAAACAGCACGUGAAAUUGUUGAAAGGGAAGCGCUUGCAGCCAGACUUGCUUGCAGUUGCUCAUCCGGGCUUUUGCCCGGUGCAUAAUUCUGUAGGCAGGCCAGCAUCAGUUGGGGCGGUGGGAUAAAGGUGUCUGUCACGUACCUGUCUUCGGGGAGGCCUUAUAGGGGAGACGACAUGCCCACCAGCCUAGACUGAGGUCCGCGCAUUUUGCUAGGAUGCUGGCGUAAUGGCUGUAAGCCGGCCCGUCUCGAAACACGGACCAAGGAGUCUAACAUCUAUGCGAGUGUUUGGGUGUCAAGCCCGAGCGCGUAAUGAAAGUGAACGGAGGUGGGAACCCGCAAGGGUGCACCAUCGACCGAUCCUGAAGUUUACGGAAGGAUUUGAGUAAGAGCAUGGCUGUUGGGACCCGAAAGAUGGUGAACUAUGCUUGAAUAGGGUGAAGCCAGAGGAAACUCUGGUGGAGGCUCGCAGCGGUUCUGACGUGCAAAUCGAUCGUCAAAUUUGGGCAUA
rnacentral:misc_RNA from 1 species